GCCAGGCACAGUGGCUCACUUUGUAAUUCCAGCACUUUGGGAGGCCAAGGUGGGAGGAUCAUUGGAGCCCAGGAGUUUGAGACCAGCCUGGGCAACAUAGUCAUGUGUUAUCUCAAAAAAAAAAAAAAAAAAAAAAAAAAAAAAAAAAAAAAAAAAAAAAAAAAAAAAAAAAAAAAGAAAAGAAAAAAAGGAAGAGAAAAAAGAAAGCCAGGUAAAUAGUAAGUGCUCAAUUACUAUUAGCAGGGAGAGUAUUUGUGCUGCCAGGAAAAAGGAUGAUGCAUCAGAAGAGAUCUCUGCUUCAGGCUCUGAUGGUUCCAUGGGAAAUACUGAUUUCCCACCACUAGAAUCAUUGAUGAUCCUGUGAUCGUGGUAUGUCCCCUGCCAGAGAGAAUAUUCCUGUUGGGGAAAGCCUGCCUGAGAAUGGAGCCAACACAGAGAAAACAGAAGACAUACAAGAGCAUUAUUUGAGCCACUGGAUCCAGUUCUGUCUAAAACCAGAAAUCCCUGUGUUUUUGGACACUAGAGCCCAUAUAGUGUUAGUCAUAGGUAGCACUUAUUAAGUGCUUUCUAGGUGCCAGGCACUGCUGUAAGCUCUGUAUGUGGGUUAUCUUACUUGGCUCUCACAACAACCUUAUUAAACACUCACUGUUUUUAUUUCCAUUUUAUAGAUAAGAAAACUGAGAUUUUCAAGGGCUAAGUUAGUUGCCCAAGGUACAAAAGUAAUAAAUAGUAGACAGGUAUGAACUCA
rnacentral:lncRNA from 13 species